rfam:Heterocephalus glaber contig23835, whole genome shotgun sequence.
GUUGCCUGGAUAUCUUGUUAAAAUGCAGAUUCUGAUCUGGGGUAGGGCCCAGGAUUCUGCAUUUGUAACAAGCACUCACAUGAUGCGAU